GGCUCCGUGAGGACACACGGCUCCGUGAGGACACACGGCUGCCCAGUCUCCAGCCGCUAAUCCUCGCCCCCGAGGGGACUCACUGGGUGAAAUAUCUGGCAAAUACACACCUAAACGCCCCCAAGCUGAUCUCCAAUACACGGCCACGGGACCCAGGGCGAAGCCCGUGGGGAGGUGAGCGCCGGUCCCUGUCUCUGUCCCGCUUUGCCGGAGGCGCCUGAGGCCCCUCAGCGCCCGCCCUCAGGGCAGAGCGGGGCCGCGCGGCCGCCGGGGGGCAGCGCUGCGCCGCCUGAGGCGCCGAGGCCGCGGAGGCGCCGAAAGCCGGCACUUUUCACCCAGAACGGGAGCAGCGAGGGGCAGCAGAACGCAGCGAGGGGUGGCUCCGGUCACACCCCAGCCGUGGCAUUUGGAAGGGAUGCCACGAAGGCCCGGGAGCAUUUGCCGUUGCUUUGUCUCUGCUCGCUGAGGCGAGGAAAGUCUCCUACGAGGGGAGCAGCUGUGACGCACGUCGGGAUUUAUGUUCGGCGGGGAAUAUCCGUGGGGAAACACAAGUUGUAAAUGUCCAAUUCUUCGGUUUAGUAACUGGACUAUUGACUGGGUUGGUUGUCCUCAGCAGGAGGGGACUUGUGUGCAAGUGCAGAGAUGUGCAGGAGAGCAUUUGACCUGCCUCAGUAGAUAUUUACUUGCUAGCUGUUGGAAUGUAGGGGAAAACCUGGGAGGAAAGAUGAAAAUCUUUUAGGAUUGUGCCA
rnacentral:lncRNA from 1 species